rnacentral:rRNA from 1 species
CAGCCGCCGCGGUAAUACGAAGGGUGCAAGCGUUAAUCGGAAUUACUGGGCGUAAAGCGUGCGUAGGCGGUUUGUUAAGUCUGUUGUGAAAUCCCCGGGCUCAACCUGGGAAUGGCAAUGGAUACUGGCAAGCUAGAGUGUGUCAGAGGAUGGUGGAAUUCCCGGUGUAGCGGUGAAAUUCGUAGAUAUUGGGAAGAACACCGGUGGCGAAGGCGGCGACCUGGUCCGAUACUGACGCUGAGGCGCGAAAGCGUGGGGAGCAAACAGGAUUAGAUACCCGUGUAGUCCCUGUCUCUUAUAC